AUUAGCUAGUUGGUGAGGUAAUGGCUCACCAAGGCGACGAUCCCUAGCUGGUCUGAGAGGAUGAUCAGCCACACUGGAACUGAGACACGGUCCAGACUCCUACGGGAGGCAGCAGUGGGGAAUAUUGCACAAUGGGCGAAAGCCUGAUGCAGCCAUGCCGCGUGUAUGAAGAAGGCCUUCGGGUUGUAAAGUACUUUCAGUUGUGAGGAAGGGGGUGUCGUUAAUAGCGGCAUCUCUUGACGUUAGCAACAGAAGAAGCACCGGCUAACUCCGUGCCAGCAGCCGCGGUAAUACGGAGGGUGCGAGCGUUAAUCGGAAUUACUGGGCGUAAAGCGCAUGCAGGUGGUUCAUUAAGUCAGAUGUGAAAGCCCGGGGCUCAACCUCGGAACUGCAUUUGAAACUGGUGAACUAGAGUACUGUAGAGGGGGGUAGAAUUUCAGGUGUAGCGGUGAAAUGCGUAGAGAUCUGAAGGAAUACCAGUGGCGAAGGCGGCCCCCUGGACAGAUACUGACACUCAGAUGCGAAAGCGUGGGGAGCAAACAGGAUUAGAUACCC
rnacentral:rRNA from 1 species